UACAGAGGGUGCAAGCGUUGCUCGGAUUUACUGGGCGUAAAGCGUACGCAGACGGUGAGAAAGGUCGGAUGUGAAAGCCCCGGGCUCAACCCUGGAACUGCAUCCGAAACCAUCUCGCUAGAGUAUGAGAGAGGGAAGCAGAAUUCCUGGUGUAGAGGUGAAAUUCGUAGAUAUCAGGAGGAAUACCUGCGGCGAAGGCGGCUUCCUGGCUCAUUACUGACGUUCAGGUAUGAAAGCGUGGGUAGCAAACAGG
rnacentral:rRNA from 1 species